UAGAAAUGAUUUAAAGUGCAGCUGUGUGCUGUGUUGUGACACUUCAGUCAAUGGCAGAUGACAAAGACAACAAUGGUCCCAUGGGUUAUGUUGUCAGUGAUGCCACAGCCAUCUUAGUCUGCGUAAGUGCAGUCUGUGGUGUUUGCACAAUGGUGACAUUGCCUAACAAGCCAUUUCUCAGAACGUAUUUCCGUGGCGAGUUGAAGUACGACUGCUUCCAGGUGGAUGUGCAUGGGUUAUACACGAGUAUGAUGCCUUUUUAUAUAAGGGACUCGAGCAUCCACGGACUUUAUAGCUGGAGUGAGGACCGGUUUCCUGGAACCGACCCCCGUGAAUUCCAAGGACUGUAUUCAGGAGAGCUGCAGCAGACGCAAGGGAACACAGAGGGGUCAAGACUCUUGAUCAAAGACAUCAGCAAAGGGCAAGAAGGAGGAAGCGGAGCCAGAAGGAAACAGCGAUGGUUGCGGUUUUGAGUGAGAAUUAAUCAGUCAGACAUUUGUGGAGCGUCUGCUGUGACACAGAUGCUCUGAUACGUUCUGGAGAGGAAACAGCGAGGUCCGGUCCCUGGCUUGAAGGAUUUCAGUCUUGCAGAGACCGUUAUCACCACUCAUCUCUGACACCACGUUCCAAGCUGGCCAGUCUCACCUGCUAGGCCAAGCUGAAGCCAGAAGCAGGAACUCCAUUCCACAUGCCCAGCAGGAAUCCAAGCACCUGGGCCAUCAUGUCCUGCCUCCCAGGCACUUUAGCAGGAUGCUGGAUUGGAGGUGAGGAAGCUGGAACUUGAACCAGGCACCCUGAUAUGGAAUAUGGGCAUCCCAAAGGGUGGCUUAAGCCACUGUGCCACAGCUUGCUACAGUAGCUACACCACUUCAAAUUCCUAUCAGUAAUGCAUAAGGUUCCAUGUCUCCACAUCCUCGUCAAUAUGUGCUCUUUUCCGAUUCUGAGAAAUAGCUGCUGGAUUCUCAGAAGCGACUUUAUGAUAUACUGAAUCUAUAAUUUCCUUUUCAGGCUCUAUUACCAAGAUGGCAACAAGUCAAUAACAUGUUUGAUAUACAACAUUCCAAGAACACUAAGAAGCUUUAAAUUUCGUGUAAUUUAUCAGUUAGCUAUAAAUGGUCUCAUAAACAAGGUAUUAGUUCAAUGACAUCUUUAAUUUUUACCCAUAUGACAAAUGUUAAGCAGUAUUUUAUAAAAUAAUGCAACUUGAAAAAUAUUUCAAUUUUCACUUUAUUGCAGGAUGGUAGAAUUAAUUAUAAAUUCAAAGUGUAACUGAGUAAUCUUUUAGUCAGGCAGCAUGUUUUAAUAAAAGCAAACUGCUCAUUAAACGUGAUCACGGAACAACUCGAAAUACAUAGAACAAAGGAUGAGAAACAUGACUGGCCAAGAGUUCUCUCAUUUUAUGAAACCUAAAUUUGACUUUUAGGAAAGAUAAAGUGUAACUUCAGGAGAGGGCAACAGUCACAUUUAGUUUCCAUCUGGUGAGUCAACUGAUUCUAACAGUCUCCACCGGGCAGGUGCACUACAUAACUGGCUGUGCCUGCGCCUUCUUUGCCAGCAGCUUUAGAUCUGCGAUGCACUUGGCAAUUGUCUCCUUUUCCUGCGACAAGGAAAGAGAAAUUGUGUUAGACCUUUCUAGAACAGUAAAGGGUAAAAAUGCUGUAAUUCUAAAAGACGUCUUUUACUAAACCAGAAUGACAUGAUUACUGGCUUAAUAAGACUCUUAGAAAAGUUUAGAAGUAUAAUCAAUUAGUUACAAUUAUUUAACAUAGGGACGAUUCAAUUUAUUUUAAGCAAAUCCUGGGACUUGGUUAAAAUUCCCUCUUAUUUAUCUAUCUGAAAGUCAGAGCUACAAGGGGUGGGGGGGGAGAGGGAGAAGGAGAGAGAGAAUCUUCCAUCUACCCAGUUUACUCCACAAGUGAUUCCUACAGCCAGGGCUAAAGCCAGGCCAAAGCUAAGAGCUUCAUCCGGGUCUCCCACAUGGUGGCAGGGGUCCAAACAGUUGGUCCACCUUCUGCUACUUUUCUCAGGCUGUAAGCAGGGAACUGGAUCAGAAGUGGAGCAGCUGAGACUUGAACCGGCAUUCAGAUGGGAUGCCGGCAUUGCAGGCAGCGGCUUUACCAGUUAAGCCCCAACUCUUAUCUUCUAUGAGUAAAAACUAUAUAGAAUGUGAAGCCAAACAUCUGCCACUAAUGUUUGCUUAUAUAACUAACAGUUGCUUUAAAAAGAACCCCCCAGGUAUUAGCAAUAUAGAAAUGUUAGGAAAGGAUGACAAUAAUUUUUAGUCUCUACUCCACACAUUUUUGUAUUUUCUGUUUCUUACACAAAUUAUUUUAAUGUAAGAGAUAAAUUUGUAAAAAAAAAAAAAAAUCACCAUACUUUGACAGACUUUCUGUAUAACCUACACAGGAUUAGAAAACAAAAUGACUAGAAAGGCCUAAAUGUACAGUGUAUCUGGGAAAGAGGAAAUCAAAUCAUAAAUAAAUGAAAUAUAA